rnacentral:rRNA from 1 species
CCUACGGGUGGCAGCAGUGAGGAAUAUUGGUCAAUGGGCGAGAGCCUGAACCAGCCAAGUCGCGUGAAGGAUGACGGCCCUACGGGUUGUAAACUUCUUUUGUCAGGGAGCAAUUGCGUCCUCGUGUGGUCUUAGCGAGAGUACCUGAAGAAAAAGCAUCGGCUAACUCCGUGCCAGCCGCCGCGGUCAUACGGAGGAUGCGAGCGUUAUCCGGAUUUAUUGGGUUAACGGGUUGCGUAGGUGGAAUAUCAAGUCAGCGGUAAAAAUUCGGGGCUCAACCGCGUCGUGCCGUUGAAACUGAUGUUCUUGAGUGGGCGAGAGGUAUGCGGAAUGCGUGGUGUAGCGGUGAAAUGCAUAGAUAUCACGCAGAACUCCGAUUGCGAAGGCAGCAUACCGGCGCCCAACUGACGCUGAAGCACGAAAGCGUGGGUAUCGAACAGGAUUAGAUACCCCAGUAGUC